rnacentral:rRNA from 1 species
GAUGAACGCUGGCGGCGUGCCUAAUACAUGCAAGUCGAGCGAAUGGAUUAAGAGCUUGCUCUUAUGAAGUUAGCGGCGGACGGGUGAGUAACACGUGGGUAACCUGCCCAUAAGACUGGGAUAACUCCGGGAAACCGGGGCUAAUACCGGAUAACAUUUUGAACCGCAUGGUUCGAAAUUGAAAGGCGGCUUCGGCUGUCACUUAUGGAUGGACCCGGGUCGCAUUAGCUAGUUGGUGAGGUAACGGCUCACCAAGGCAACGAUGCGUAGCCGACCUGAGAGGGUGAUCGGCCACACUGGGACUGAGACACGGCCCAGACUCCUACGGGAGGCAGCAGAAGGGAAUCUUCCGCAAUGGACGAAAGUCUGACGGAGCAACGCCGCGUGAGUGAUGAAGGCUUUCGGGUUGUAAAACUCUGUUGUUAGGGAAGAACAAGUGCUAGUUGAAUAAGCUGGCACCUUGACGGUACCUAACCAGAAAGCCACGGCUAACUACGUGCCAGCCGCCGCGGUAA